rnacentral:antisense_RNA from 1 species
AUUUGGCAGGCGCAUGGUGGGGGAGUGCUAUGCACUCGCUGGUUUGGUAAGUAGACCAGUACGCCAAUCCUGCCACGCGCCUGCCCAAU